AAAAGCUCGUAGUUGGAUCUCAGAUCCGGCCGGACGGUCCACCUACCGGUGGUUACUGUUCGUUGCCGAUCGUUCAGGCGGUUAUUCUUGAUGAUCUUCACCGGUUGUCUCGGGUGACCGCCAAGUUUACUUUGAAAAAAUUAGAGUGCUCAAAGCAGACGUGACGUCUGAAUAAUUGUGCAUGGAAUAAUGGAAUAGGACCUCGGUUCUAUUUUGUUGGUUUUCGGAACACGAGGUAAUGAUUAAGAGGGACAGACGGGGGCAUUCGUAUUGCGACGCUAGAGGUGAAAUUCUUGGACCGUCGCAAGACGAACUACUGCGAAAGCAUUUGCCAAGAAUGUUUCCAUUAAUCAAGAACGAAAGUUAGAGGUUCGAAGGCGAUCAGAUACCGCCCUAGUUCUAACCAUAAACAAUGCCAGCCAGCGAUCCGGCUGUGUUCCUCAAAUGACACGCCGGGCAGCUUCCGGGAAACCAAAGCUUUUGGGUUCCGGGGGAAGUAUGGUUGCAAAGCUGAAACUUAAAGGAAUAGACGGAAGGGCACCACCAGGAUUGGAGCCUGCGGCUUAAUUUGACUCAACACGUGGAAACUUACCCGGCCCGGACACAGGAAGGAUUGACAGAUUAAGAGCUCUUUCUUGAUUCUGUGGGUGGUGGUGCAUGGCCGUUCUUAGUCGGUGGUGCGAAUUGUCUGGUUAAUUCCGAUAACGGACGAGACUCUAGCCUACUAAAUAGACGUUCCCAUCAUCUUGUGUGGGAUGCUCUUCUUAGAGGGACAAGUGGCGUUUAGCCGCACGAGACAGAGCAAUAACAGGUCUGAGAUGCCCUUAGAUGUCCGGGGCCGCACGCGCGCUACAUUGAAGGAUUCAGCGUGUGCUUUCCCUGUCCGAAAGGACUGGGUAACCCGUUGAACCUCCUUCGUGCUGGGGAUUGGCGAAUGUAAUUGACGCCAUGAACGAGGAAUUCCCAGUAAGCAUGAGUCAUCAGCUCGUGCUGAUUACGUCCCUGCCCUUUGUACUCACCGCCCGUCGCUACUACCGAUUGAGUGAUUUAGUGAGGUCUUCGGACUGGCGCUCGGAUUGGCCUUCGCGGUCGAGCCGGUGUGCCCGGAAAGAUGACCAAAACUUGAUUACUUAGAGGAAGUUAAAAGUCGUAAANAAGGUUUUCG
rnacentral:rRNA from 1 species